AGAGUUUGAUCCUGGCUCAGGAUGAACGCUAGCGGCAGGCCUAAUACAUGCAAGUCGAGGGAGAAAUUAAAGCUUGCUUUAAUGGAAACCGGCGCACGGGUGCGUAACGCGUAUGCAACCUACCUACUACUGGGGAAUAGCCCGGGGAAACCCGGAUUAAUACCCCAUAACACCACAAGAUGGCAUCUGAUAGUGGUUAAAGUUCCGGCGGUAGUAGAUGGGCAUGCGUAAGAUUAGAUAGUUGGUGAGGUAAUGGCUCACCAAGUCGACGAUCUUUAGGGGGUCUGAGAGGAUGAUCCCCCACACUGGUACUGAGAUACGGACCAGACUCCUACGGGAGGCAGCAGUAGGGAAUAUUGGACAAUGGGCGAAAGCCUGAUCCAGCCAUGCCGCGUGCAGGAUGACGGCCUUCUGGGUUGUAAACUGCUUUUCUAUAAGAAGAAAAAGUCCUUGCGAGGACAAUUGACGGUACUAUAGGAAUAAGCACCGGCUAACUCCGUGCCAGCAGCCGCGGUAAUACGGAGGGUGCAAGCGUUGUCCGGAUUUAUUGGGUUUAAAGGGUACGUAGGUGGAUCCUUAAGUCCGUGGUGAAAGCCUGCAGCUUAACUGCAGAACUGCCAUGGAUACUGGGGAUCUUGAAUUCAGUUGAGGUUGGCGGAAUUUAUGAUGUAGCGGUGAAAUGCAUAGAUAUCAUAAAGAACACCUAUUGCGAAGGCAGCUAACUGGACUUGAAUUGACACUGAGGUACGAAAGCGUGGGGAGCGAACAGGAUUAGAUACCCUGGUAGUCCACGCCGUAAACUAUGGAUACUCGUUGUUGGCGAUAUACUGUCAGUGACCAAGCGAAAGCGUUAAGUAUCCCACCUGGGGAAGUACGACCGCAAGGUUGAAACUCAAAGGAAUUGACGGGGGCCCGCACAAGCG
rnacentral:rRNA from 1 species